rnacentral:rRNA from 1 species
GGUGACCUGCGGAAGGUCAUUA